rnacentral:rRNA from 1 species
UGCUCCUAGGCAGUCCUUUAUGGUAUAGCCCAUCCGUGUCUAUAUACUCUUGUUGCUUUGGCAGGCCGUGCCUAACCGCCUGUGGGCUUCUGCCUGCAUGUGCCUGCCAGAGGACCAAACUCUGAAUUUUAGUGAUGUCUGAGUACUAUAUAAUAGUUAAAACUUUCAACAACGGAUCUCUUGGUUCUGGCAUCGAUGAAGAACGCAGCGAAAUGCGAUAAGUAAUGUGAAUUGCAGAAUUCAGUGAAUCAUCGAAUCUUUGAACGCACAUUGCGCCCGGUGGUAUUCCGCCGGGCAUGCCUGUUCGAGCGUCUCUAUCAACCAUCACGCCCCGGCGUGGAACUGGGGAUUGCAGUUUGCUGCAGCCCUAAAUCUCAUAUGCGAUCCCAGUUGGUUCUAUGCGUAGUACAUACCCCGCUACAGAACUUUAAUUGGAGCCGUCGGCAGUAAAUGGUGCAAGCCCAUUCUAAGGUUGACCUCGAAUCAAGUAGGGAUACCCGCUGAACUUAAGCAUAUCAAUAAGCGGAGGAA